GCGGCAACGCACAGAAAAACAAGCCCUAGCCUCUUCCUCUCGUCGCCUCCCUCCAGCGAGCCCUGUCCCACCUCCCUCCGACGUUCCAGCCCCCGGCGACCUCCCUCCCACGGCCUCCAGCAAGCCCCGUCCCCCCUCCCUCCCGCGGCGACCUCCAACGACCUCAGCGUCUCCUCCCUCCAGCGAGCCCUGUCCCCCCUCCCUUCGACGUUCCAGCCCUCGGCGACCUCCCUCCCACGGCCUCCGGCGCCCGCGGCGAACUCCAACGGUCUCAGCGUCGCCUCCCUCCCUCCAGCGCCGUCUCCAGCGCCCGCGGCGACCUCCAGCGGCCUCAGCGUCGCCUUCCUCCCUCCAGCGCCACUUCAGCGACCUCCAGCGUUCACGGCGACCUCCAGCGGCCACCUCCCCGCGACCUCCAGCGUCCGCAACGACCUCCAGCGGCCCCCUCCCUGCGACCUCCCUCCCGCAGCCUCCAACGACCUCCCUCUCGCUGCCUCCAGCGACCUACAGCCGCCUCCGUCCCGUGGCCUCCAGCGACUUCCCUCACCUCCAGCCGUCUCCCUCCCUGGAUUAGGCUUUAUUCUACUGUGCUUUGCGUUGCUCGCGUGAGAUGAUUGCCUCUGAUGAUGGAUCCAGGAGCUUGCUGCUUGCUGUUAAUAGAAGGCUCACUGCACUAUCAUUCCAUAUCAGAGUACUUUUGGGUUGACAUGAAGAAGAUCAAUGAGAUUUAUCGCUACAAGACUGAAGAAUACUCCCAAGGUGCUACUAACAAAUUCAACAUCUAUCCGGAGCAAAUUCCUAGUUGGCUAGUUGAUUGGAUUCCUGAAAAAGGUGGCUACUUGAUUGGGAACCUUCAGCCAGCUCACAUGAAUUUCUGGUUCUUCUCACUGGGUAAUCUAUGGGCUAUCACUUCAUCUUUACCCACUCCGAGACAAGCCGAGGAGAUUCUGAACCUGAUGGAGAAAAAAUGGAAGGAUUUCAUUGGAAUAUACCUCUGAAGAUAUGUUAUCCUGCGUUAGAAUAUGAAGAAUGGCACAUAAUUACUGGAAGUGAUCCGAAAAAUGCGCCUUAGUCAUAUCAUAAUGGUGGACCAUGACCUACCCUACUAUGGCAGUUCACAUUGGCUUGCAUCAAGAUGGGCCGGCCUGAAUUAGCUCGUAAAGCUGUCUCAGUAGCUGAGAAAAGGCUUUCGAAUGAUCAAUGGCCUGAAUACUAUGACACCCUGACCGCAAGAUUCAUCAGUAAUCAAUCACGAUUGUAUCAAACAUGGACAAUUGCUGGGUUUCUGGCAUCAAAGUUGCUACCGGAGAAUCCAGAAAUGGCAUCCAUAUUCACAUUUGAGGAAGAUAUGGAACUACUGGAAGGCUGUGCCUACAGUCCGACAAAUCAUCCUCGUGCCAAAUGCUCAUGACGCGUUCCAAAAGCGUAGGUCCUCGUAUAACUUGUUGAAGAUACGCAACCAUUCUUUGAUGCUUGUACUAUAUAUAAAAAAAAGGAAAACCAUAGAUGGAAGAGGGAUCCACCUCCACACAACAUUGUUUCCUCAUUGAGGUAUGCUCUUUUUUUUGUUGAGCUACCAUGAUGGUGACUGUGUAUCAGUGAUGUGUAAAAGAUUUGGCCUUUGUAACAAAAAAUAUGUAUGUUUUGAUGACACAUUGAUUCAUAUAACUUUUUUUUUUAUGUUCAUGUUGAUCCAUAUUUUGUAUAGAAAGGAAUUUUUGUAAUUAACACCCAG